GAAAGGCAAAAUAACAGUCGUUGCUUUUGCUGAUGGAUGGCUUCCUAUGCCAAGAUUAAGCAUUUAUUGUCACUAAUAAGCUUCUUUGAGACACUGCAUAUCGAGGUUGGUUCAGAUAUUGGGAUAACAAUUGUAACCCCAGGACUCAUCAAAUCACCAAUCACAAACGACGAAUGGUUACUACAGACGAACUUAAAUUGGGCACCAUUAUUAUUGGUAAAAGGUUGUGCAAAAAAAUUGUGUAUAGCUCAGCCCAUGGAGAUGAGUAGUUGACGGAGCAAGGAUAUAUGAGGAUGCUCUUUUUAUUGAAACUACUAUGUCCUCAGAUCCUCUACUCAACAGGAAAUCCUUUAGCAGCAGCAGCAGCUC